UUUGUCUCUGGCUCAGGCCGGAGCCUGGGAUCCAUCUCUACUGUCCCGCGUGUUGCCCCUCGGGAGCCCUCGGUGACUUUGUCACAGCCUCUGUUGCCCUGAGAUCUGCAGGUACUGGGAGAUGCAUGGCUAAGAUGCCAGGACAUCCUGGAAACCAGGAAAUGUUUGUCUGCAUCUUGUUAUUGGGCCACAAGAACACACAGUCAGACCCAGUUUGGUCCAGGAACAACAUUUGGCAAGCUAACCAAGAGUCACUGAAAUGGUGCUGCACUCAGUGGCCCGUGAUUGUGGCGAGAUGGUUAAGAUGGUUAAGCUGCUGGAUAAGAUUGUCCUGGGGACUCUCCCAGGGGCUAUCCCAUGUGCAAAAACCACAUGUCCUUCUCACCACUGGGGAAGAAUGGUGAUCAGGCAGGAGUGGAUGCACUCAAAGGAUCUAAAGGAUGCAGCCCUCCCCUAUGUAGACUGGUUGCUGUUCACGGAUGGAAGCAGCUUAGUCACCAACAAAGGAGAAAUUCUGCCUAUUCUGUAGUAACUCUCUUGGAGGUAAUAGAGGCAAGAACACUCCCGACAGGGCUUCUGCGGAAAAGGCUGAGUUAGUCGCGUUUACCAGAGCCUUGCAACUGUCCCAAGAUUUUGUAGGAGACCGCCACCCAUUUCAGCCUGGUGAUCAAGUGCUGCUGAAGGAAUGGAGGGAAGCUGAUCCUGCCCAACAACUACAGGAAAAAUGGAAAGGGCCCUAUGACGUGCUGUUGACUACUGACUUGGCACUGAAGCUGACAGGCAUCAAACCCUGGGUUCAUCAUAUGAAAAGUCUUUCUCUAGGACCUGGAAAUGAUUGCUUGGAAAUGUAAACAGCAAAAAAGUUAGAGCCCUAUCACACAGCUUGCUCCAAGUUUCAAAAUUACCUUCUGUCCCUCUUGGACUUGGGACCAUUAUUUUUCCUUCAGAUAUGCCGUUCAGCAACCACAGAUGGCCUCCCCAAUUACCAGGUGAAUUUAGGAUAAACUGUAUAUGACACAUGGUGCUGUGAAGUAUCCUACUUGAGGACUAAUUAUGUCUUUCAGUCUGUUAUAAGAUUACCUGUAAUUUAAAUCAGAUUCUGGUCUAACUGUGUAAUUAUAAUUUGCUUUCUAUUCUACUGUGGAGAGUGUUUGGGGGAGUUGGAGACAAUUAAGUUUUCAAUUACAUUUUAUGAAUACUGUCCAGAAUUGCCAGACACACUAUAAACAUAUGAGGUGCCCACCAGGCCUCACACUAGAGGGGUCCUUUCCUCUCAGUAACUCACAGUUAUGCAGCAACAUGCAUGCUGCCCCCAAAAUCUGCAGGUAGAGUGGUGUCUCUGCCUAUUUGGGGUCCACAGUCAUGUUAGAGCAGUUAGAGCAGGUUUCCACAUAAAUAACUUCAGAGGACAGCAGUCAGCCAGUCUACCUCUUUUUAUGCCCUUGGCAUUCUUUAUACCUGAAACUGGUUCAGAGACCAUGGGACCUCGAAACCCAUCCAGGCUCACACAUGUGCAAUAAGUAGCUUUGAGAAUCUUAACUCCCCUCAUUUUCCUUCUGCCAUAAUGCUUAGGGAGGCACAGAGUUCACCGCUACAUCCUCACCCUGCUAAGACCCAAAUUGGCAUCUUCAAAUUCUGUAUAUAGGUCCUAAAAAUGUAAGUUUCAUCUGAGAAAUGCAAGUAACUUUAAUUAUCAGGCCCAUAGAGACAUUAAAAGGAGAUUAUAAUCAUGUCCUGCUCCCCUCUUUGAGCUAUGUGUAUAUAUAUAUAUAUAUAUAUAUAUGUAUUUUUUUUUUUUUUUUUUUUGAGAUGGAGUCACACUCUGUUGCCCAGGCUGGAGUGCAGUGGUGUGAUCUUGGCUCACUGCAAUCUCCGCCUCCUGGGUUCAAGUGAUUUUCCUGUCUCAGCCUCCUGAGUAGUUGGGAUUACAGGUGCGUGCCACCAUGCCUGGCUAAUUUUUGUAUUUUUAGUAGAGACGGGCUUUCACCAUGUUGGCCAGGCUGGUCUCAAACUGCUGACCUCAGGUGAUCUGCCCGCCUGAGUCUCCCAAAGUUCUGGGAUUACAGGCGUGAGCCACCGCACCCGACCUAUGUAUUCAUAUUUUGAAACUGCUUGCUUUUGCUACAAAAUGACUAUACAUUAACUAAUAAUACCACACCUGAAAUCAUAGCCUACACCCUAUAUAGCCAAUCACUAAUCAAUAUUAUUUCUGUAAAUCAAUAAGAUGUCCUGACAAAUAGCUUUGUGACAACCCAUGUCCCAUCCUCAAUUUUUGCGUUUAAAAAUCCACUUGUAACUGCUGCUAGUCAAAGUGCAUAUUCAGGGAAACGAGAAUCUAUGCUCCCAGGUUGCAAUCCUCAAACUUGGCCCAAAUAAACUCUCUACUUGUAUUACUUUUGCCUCAUCUUCUUCCUUACAGGUCUUUAGAAUGUGUUACAGGAGUCUCCAUGAGGGAAUCUCUCCUCUGCUUUUACUCCACUUGCUGUAACCCCCCAAAAUGCAGACAGGUGGAUCCCAUCUAAAAUCUGCACACCUGGAAUUUACAAGACAGGGUCAGAUUUUGGAUUGAGGAUGUACAGAAAACCCAUGGGGCACAUUUGUUUCAUCAUGAGAAAGCAACGUAGAAAUCUUAGUGCUCUUCUUUCAGGGUGAGGUCCUUCAAGUUUUCCAGAUAAUGUUUAGUGACUUGCUACAGUUGUGUGAUAUGUUCCUGGUGUAAACAGAAUCUGGUAGCAGAAUCUGUAAGUUAAACAAGCACCUUAGCAGAAGGAUGUUAGGGCCACACAAUAUCCAGAGCUAUGACCACAAUUAACCCACCUGUAAACUGUGUUACUGUAGUAGAGUAUUCUUGUUCUUUUUCUUACCCAAGAGUGAGUUGAUCACAAACAAGUGAUAUCACACCUGGAUCCAGGGUCUGCAGCUCCACCAGGGCAGGUUUAUUCUGUAUUCCGAUCAUGCAGAGUUAGCUUGAGUCUCUCCUGCCUGGAUAACCAGGGUGGCUUCAGCCCAGGCUCACUGGGGACCCUCUCACCAGCACCUGGGAGUCUUUGAGACAUUUGGGGAUGUGCUGUGCGGAUUGGCACAGCUGUGUCAGGCUGACAGCAGUGUCUAAUUCUGUUCCCAUUUCAGAGGAAGGGGAAUGAGUCAUCCAGGAUUUUUUCCCCCCCUCACAGAAGGAAUCUCCUUGGUUGGUACCUAGAUGGGUGUUUCUCCAGUUUUCUGGGUAAUGAAUGAGGAGCUCUGAAGACAGAUCGAUAAAUCAAUUGCUUCCAUUAAAAAUGAGCAUUAGAAAAAACAGAUAAAGCAGUCACUAUCUCUAUAAUCCUGGCAGUUUCAGCCUAGCGCACAUGGAUAAAUGGUUGAAUUCAGUAUUAUGGGGUCAGUACAAAGAAGGGAGGUGUACAGGAACUUGGGCUUCCUUUGGGGCCAAUUCCCUUACGUUGUUCGGAGUUGUUAUGUCACCAGCUGAAGGGCUAUUGAUGCACAGAACGGUUGUUAUUGUUAUCAUUAUUUCUAUUGCUUUUACCUCGCUAAGAAUCCAUGUUUAGCUUAUAAUUGUGCUAGAAAACCAUAGGGGUUUUUGGUUAAAUUAACAUGUAUAUAUGUUAUUAUAUGUUAUAAAAUAGACAGAAAAUUGGCCAAAAUAGAUGACAAUUCUACAAACUUCAAGUCAAGUUUCCCUUGGACAGACUUAGAAAAGACAGACCUGGAAAUACCCCAGCAGCAUAGAAAUGAGAAUCCUGUGGCCCCCUUGGUACUCUAGGCCUGCUUAACUCCAUCCUCUUCUGAGGCCUCAUCCAGGUCUUGCCCCACCCUGCAAUCUCCCCUUACAGACUGAUUAAAGGAGAUCAGAGUUUUGGGUGGUGGCUUCUGCUGCCUCCCUAGAGCUGCUGCUCACAAUUUCCUAAAAGCUAAAAGCAGAUAAAUGAAAGAGGAGAACUCUCUCUCUCUUUUUUUUUUUUUAAUUAAAACAAGUAUUUCUAGAGACAUAUGCCACCUAGCAACCCGUUCUCUAUUCCUGGAGAUCCAGUAGUUGCCCUGCAAGUCACAAGAAAGUAAAUAUAAAUAUAACAAUUCCUCUGAAUUAAGCUUAACUCUUCUUUUCUGUAUCCCUCCUACUUUUCUAGAUAAAAUUUUAUUACAUACAUUUUCUUUUUAAAAACAAUAUUAGGGCCAGGUGUGGUGGCUCACGCCUGUAAUCCCAGCACUUUGGGAGGCUGAGGUGGGUGGAUCACGUGAGGUCAGGAGUUCAAGACCAGUCUGGCCAACAUGGUGAAACCCCGUCUCUACUAAAAAUACAAAAAUCUGCUGGGUGUGGUGGCAUGCGCCUGUAAUCCCAGCUACCCAGGAGGCUGAGGCAGGAGAAUCGCCUGAACCGAGGAGGUGGAGAUUGCAGUGAGCCAAGAUUGUGCCACUGCACUCCAGCCUGGGUGACAGAGAGAGACUCUGUCUCAAAAAAAUAAAUAAAAUAAAAUAAAAUAAAUGUUAGGAAAACAGAAGAAGAAAUAGAAAUGCUGAGCUUUUUAUCUAAAUUCUGAGAAUCAUGGGACACUUAAUACCCAUCUCCCAUGGUGUUAUGAGGAUUCACUCACAUAAUGUGAAGUUCCCAGCACUGUGCUCUGUAGCAUACUGUUGAGCACACAGCACAUUCUCAGUAAAUACUGCACUGAUGCAUGUACAUAUGCUCUUUUCCAAAUGCGGACUCACUCAGACGUUGCUGCCUUCUCCAGCUUCUUUAAACUUUAAAGGUCAGCAGAGAAUGCCAUGUUUCAGGAUGGUAAUUGGUGGUUUUCACUUUGGACCGUAAGCAUUCAUGUUGUGGUAAGAGUGUUGGGUUGAGUGACUCAGUGCUGUGCCUGCUUUCUCCACCUGAGUGCUACUGAUGAUGGGUCUGGGGGAGCAGCAUGAGCAUUAACAGGGGACUUAAUAAAAAUAGGAAGAAUAGGAAGACAAAUAUUUCUUAUUUGUCUCACGUGUAUGAGGAAUCUAAAAGGUUGAACUCCUAGACGUAGGGAGUACAAAGGUGGAUACUAGAGCCAAGAGGUAGGGAAAAUGGAAGAUGUUAUUUAAAGGGUACAAACUUUUAGUUAUAACAUAAAUAAGGUUUGUGAAUCUAAUGUAUAGCAUCAUGAUUAUAGUAGAUAAUAAUGUUUUUGUAUACUUGGCUAUAAUAAAGGAAACUA